rnacentral:rRNA from 1 species
UGGGGAAUAUUGCACAAUGGGCGAAAGCCUGAUGCAGCAACGCCGCGUGAGUGAUGAAGGCCUUCGGGUUGUAAAGCUCUGUCUUUUGGGACGAUAAUGACGGUACCAAAGGAGGAAGCCACGGCUAACUACGUGCCAGCAGCCGCGGUAAUACGUAGGUGGCAAGCGUUGUCCGGAUUUACUGGGCGUAAAGGAUGCGUAGGCGGAUUUUUAAGUGAGAUGUGAAAACCCUAAGCUUAACUUGGGGACUGCAUUUCAUACUGGAAAUCUAGAGUGCGGGAGAGGAGAAUGGAAUUCCUAGUGUAGCGGUGAAAUGCGUAGAGAUUAGGAAGAACACCAGUGGCGAAGGCGAUUCUCUGGACCGUAACUGACGCUGAGGCAUGAAAGCGUGGGUAGCAAACAGGAUUAGAUACCCUGGUAGUCCACGCCGUAAACGAUGAGUACUAGGUGUAGGAGGUAUCGACCCCUUCUGUGCCGCAGUUAACACAAUAAGUACCCCGCCUGGGAAGUACGAUCGCAAGAUU